rnacentral:rRNA from 1 species
CAGUUCGGAUUGUAGUCUGNAACCCGACUACAUGAAGCUGGAAUCGCUAGUAAUCGCGAAUCAGAAUGUCGCGGUGAAUACGUUCCCGGGUCUUGUACACACCGCCCGUCACACCAUGGGAGUCGGAAAUGCCCGAAGUCAGUGACCCAACCGUAAGGAGGGAGCUGCCGAAGGUGGAGCCGGUAACUGGGGUGAAGUCGUAACAAGGUAAC